UUGCACGAUGCCUCCCGGGCUUCUCUGAGCUUUAGUUAUGACGCGAAUGCCCCGAUGCACGUGCUACAUCGGUGCCGUUCGUGUUGCAGAUUCGUUUCUUUUAUAUUCCACGGCCAAUCUGUGUCAAAGUAUCGGCAAGAUCC